UACGUAGGGUGCAAGCGUUAAUCGGAAUUACUGGGCGUAAAGCGUGCGCAGGCGGUUAUGUAAGACAGGUGUGAAAUCCCCGGGCUUAACCUGGGAACUGCAUUUGUGACUGCAUAGCUAGAGUACGGUAGAGGGGGAUGGAAUUCCGCGUGUAGCAGUGAAAUGCGUAGAUAUGCGGAGGAACACCAAUGGCGAAGGCAGCCCCCUGGGUUAACACUGACGCUCAUGCACGAAAGCGUGGGGAGCAAACAGG
rnacentral:rRNA from 1 species